ensembl:snRNA U6 U6 spliceosomal RNA
GUGCUCGCUUCGGCAGCGCAUAUACUAAAACUGGAACCAUACAGAGAAGAUUAGCAUGGUCCCUGCGCAAGGAUGGCAUGCAAAUUUGUGAAGCACUCCAUUAUUUU